rnacentral:rRNA from 2 species
GAUGAACGCUGGCGGCGCGCCUAACACAUGCAAGUCGAACGGUUAAAGCACCUUUUAGGUGUGUAUAAAGUGGCGAACGGCUGAGUAACACGUGGGCAACCUGCCCUCCUCUUGGGGAUAGCCUCGGGAAACCGAGGAUAAUACCCGAUACUUCAAUGUGGCCGCAUGACGACAUUGAGAAAGCUUUUGCGGAGAAGGAUGGGCCCGCGGCCUGUUAGCUUGUUGGUGGGGUAGAGGCCUACCAAGGCAAUGAUGGGUAGCUGGGUUGAGAGACCGACCAGCCAGAUUGGGACUGAGACACGGCCCAGACUCCUACGGGAGGCAGCAGUGGGGAAUCUUGCACAAUGGGCGAAAGCCUGAUGCAGCGACGCCGCGUGCGGGACGAAGGCCUUUCGGGUUGUAAACCGCUUUUCAGCAGGGACGAGGCGAAAGUGACGGUACCUGCAGAAGAAGCCCCGCUAAUAAC